rnacentral:rRNA from 1 species
AUUGAACGCUGGCGGCAGGCUUAACACAUGCAAGUCGAGCGGAGAUGAGGUGCUUGCACCUUAUCUUAGCGGCGGACGGGUGAGUAAUGCUUAGGAAUCUGCCUAUUAGUGGGGGACAACAUUCCGAAAGGAAUGCUAAUACCGCAUACGUCCUACGGGAGAAAGCAGAGGAUCUUCGGACCUUGCGCUAAUAGAUGAGCCUAAGUCGGAUUAGCUAGUUGGUGGGGUAAAGGCCUACCAAGGCGACGAUCUGUAGCGGGUCUGAGAGGAUGAUCCGCCGCACGGGGACUGAGACACGGCCCAGACUCCUACGGGAGGCAGCAGUGGGGAAUAUUGGACAAUGGGGGGAACCCUGAUCCAGCCAUGCCGCGUGUGUGAAGAAGGCCUUAUGGUUGUAAAGCACUUUAAGCGAGGAGGAGGCUACUGAGACUAAUACUCUUGGAUAGUGGACGUUACUCGCAGAAUAAGCACCGGCUAACUCUGUGCCAGCCGCCGCAGUAAGAC